UUUUAAGCGGCGAGUUGUGUGUACUGUGUUAAAUGCAAGAUCUCCUUGGUUAAAUGCAAAAUAAUAAAAAUGUCUUCAAAAUUACAUGUAUUGCCUAAAGCUUUUGCUGCUAUUCAGCGAGUAAAUACAGAUGAGCUAUCAAAGUUAAAUGAAUCAGAAUUGAGACCGUUAUUACCUUGUUUAGUUCGUAUGGCACUUUGUGCACCAUUAGAUCAGUCAUGGGAAUGGGCCCAAAAGCGCAAAGUUAUAUUACAACUUUUAUCAGGAAUUGAAGUAGUAAAUUCUCUUGUAGCACUCCUGUCUAUUGAUUUUCACGCUUUGGAGGUUGAUGUUCGUAAAGAGCAACAGCGAUGUAGAGUUGGACCUGGUAGUGAAAGUGCCUUAAUUCCUGUUUUACCAAAUGGUUUAGCUUUGGAGUUUGAACGUAGCGAUGCUGCAAGAAGGCUUAGAUUGUUUCUUAGCGAAUUGUUAUGUGUAAUGGCUCAGGUUAAAGAAGGGUAUAUCGAUAGUGUACAAACUGCUGAACUUUUUGAAAGUAUUGUGUACAUAGAUGAAAUUGCUGAUGUUCUCUGUAUUGCUCAAGCAGAACUCCCUGGACUGUUAUUCAUUCCUGACAUUGCUGAGGCUCUUCUGCAUGUGCCUAAUGGGAUAUACUUGCUGUGUAGAUUGGUUGCUAAUUCACCUGAUAGUUUUCAAGAAGUUUGUACAACACUUAUAACCAAUGGAGAUAAGCAAGAUGAAGAUUCACCAUUAGGUAAAGUACGCAUACAAGCUCUGAGAGUCUUAUGUCAAAUGAAUAUGUCAGAAAUUUUAGCUGUUAGAGGAAAAGCUGUGGAGCUGUGUCAUAUGCCUGGAUUAACAAUAAUUCUGACUUUAGAUUUCUGUCGCUUGGAGCAAGGAAAUUAUGUAAAUCAUGAUUCCAUUGUUGGAGAUCUUGUUGCAUUUAUUAGUGGUUUGCUCUUAGGAAGUGAUGACAAAGUUCGAAAUUGGUUUGGACAGUAUUUUCGAAACUGCCAAAAGAAACCAGAAGGUGAUGGCAAUCCUACUCAUCUGCUGAGAGAAGAGUUGUUACAAAGAUUAAAGAAUUUAGUUCUUUUUAGUAUUGAUCAUCAUAAUUUACCUGAUGCAAAAGUAGUUCAGGCAAGCUCUUUAUUGCGUUUAUAUUGUGCAUUAAGAGGAAUAGGUGGCCUAAGAUUUAAUGAAGAGGAAAUUAAUUUAUUACUCCAACUGCUUACUUCUCAUCCACCUCCAAGUCCUGCUGGUAUCAGAUUUGUUUCCCUUGGACUGUGUAUGUUGCUUGCUUGUCCUUCACUUCUUACUACAAGUGAUCAGGAGAAAAGGGCAACUGACUGGAUUCAGUGGCUUCUCAGAGAAGAAAGUCAUUUUGGAAGCACAAGUGGAGUUAACGCAUCUUUUGGUGAAAUGCUGCUGUUAAUUGCUAUCCAUUUCCAUAGCAACCAAAUGAGUUCAAUCACUGAUUUGGUAUUUUCUACUCUGGGUAUGAAAAUUCCAAUACGAUCCAAUAAUUUAGCCAGAAUGAAAACUAUAUUUACGCAAGAAAUAUUUACUGAUCAGAUUGUAACUGCACAUGCUGUAAGAGUCCCUGUAACAAAAAAUCUGAGUAGAAAUGUUACAGGAUUUCUUCCUGUCCAUUGCAUUCAUCAGUUACUUAAAAGUCGAGCUUUUACUAAAUAUAAGGUACCCAUAAAAGACUGGAUUUACAAACAAAUAUGUCAUACUGUACCACCUUUACAUCCUGUCUUGCCUGCAUUAAUUGAAGUGUAUGUAAAUUCUGUUUUAACUCCGAGUUCAAAAGGCUCUAUAGACACCACAAAUGAGCCUAUAACAGAAGAAGAAAUUCUUGCGGUGUUUUCUAAGUCUGUUUUUAUGCCCCAAGAACAAGAUAAGAUUGUUACCUUACCUUCAAAAGAUAAUGUGCCAAUGGAAACUGAUGAAAAGCCAUCAUCUUUGACAUCACAGCUAUUGCUGUUAUAUUAUCUCUUACUUUAUGAAGACACACGUUUAUCAAAUAUGAAAACUAUUUUGGCAAGUGAAAGAAAAGUUAAACGGUAUUCACCUCAGUUUAUUGCCAAAAUUCCGGUAUUCUAUUUAAUUCAAAGAGCUCAAAAAGAUCAGCAACAAUUUGCAGGCCUUUUUGCCCCAUUGCUGCGUCUACUUACAACUCAUUAUCCUCAUCUCUGUUUAGUACAGUCAUGGCUAACUGAUGAUGAAGAUAGCGAUUUUGCCUUGAAGAAUUCCCGUGUAAAACUUCUAGGGUGGCCAGAACAUGGGUUUAAUAAAGAAAGUCUUGAUAAAGCAUUUGAGCAAGUGGAAAGUUGUCCGUUUCAACUAUUGUCACAUCUAAACCAUCUUCUUGCAUUACCUGUGCAGCAACUGUGGCCUUAUGCUUCAAAAUUUGUAACCUAUCUGCCUAAAUUACUUGAUAAUUCUGAUAAACUUCAAAUUCUUAUCAAAGCAAAAAAAGUGUGGUGGAAGCUGAAUUCCAUAUUUCCUCGUAACCUUUGGGUCAUGACUGUAAAUACUUUCUCCCAAAAAACAUUCAAAACGGCUCGAAAACUCACUUUAGAUGAUAUUAUUCUGGAUCCUCUUUAUGUGCUGAGAUGUGAUAAAAGAAUAUUCAGGUGUCCCCCUUUCAUGGAAAUCGUCCUUCACAUGCUUCAAGCUUUUCUAGCUGCUUCUAGAACUCAUCUUUUACAUCAUACAUUGGAACAUCCAAUGCUAGAAAAGGCAGGCCUGUUAGAGAGUGAAAAAGACAGAGAAGAUUUACGCACAGCACUUGUUGCUGCACAAGAAAGUGCAGCUGUACAAAUCCUUUUAGAAUGCUGUUUGCCCACACCUGAAGAUAAAAAAGCACAAGGGUUGUUAACAAAUCUGAGAGAAAUACAGAGUUUGAUAUGCUCCCAUCUCCACCAAGUUUUUAUAUCUGAACCUAGUCUGGCCAAAUUAGUGCAUUUUCAGACUUAUCCUAGUGAACUCCUGCCUGUAGUGGUUUCAUCUGUACCUUCUCUACAUAUUUGUUUAGAUUUUUUACCAGAGCUUUUAAGUCAAGCAGAUUUAGAUAAACAGGUCUUCGCUAUAGAAUUAGCUUCACAUCUUUGUUCCCAAUAUGCUAUUGCAAAAUCAUUAAGCAUUGCAAAACUAUGCAUUAAUGUUUGCAAUACUCUUCUUGGAGUACUGCCAAGUAUUCAGCGUAGCAAAUUAUUUUUACCUGCACUACCAGCCUUGAUACGUAUGUGUGAAGCAUUUCCACCUUUAUGCGAAGAUGUAGCAUUUUUACUGUGCCAGUUAGGAAGGGUAUGUUUGUCUUGUAUCUGUGCCACUUCAAGUGUACCACCAACAACAGCAGAAAGGUAUCCUGACAAUAAACAACAUUUACUUUGAAACACUGAAAUCUAACAAUAUGUCAACUUUUUCUCCUAUCUAAAAACAGUGAAGAAUGCUCCGAAACUACAAAGAUUUGUUACUACCUACAGAAGAAGUCAAACAAUCAGUGGACUAUGGAAAACUAGAAAAUAUUGUUAAUAAACUUGAUUCAGAUAAUGACUUGUGUUAUGCAAUCCAGAAAGCAUUUGUUGACCUUUGUUAUAC
rnacentral:misc_RNA from 1 species